AUCCUAAAGAAAUAUUAUAAUAAUCUCAAAUAUAUCUUAAAUAAAUCUCAAUUAAGUCCUAAUUUAAUCCUAAUUGAAAUUCGAAUUGACUUCAAUCAAAUCUUAAAUCAAAUCUUGAAUCCUAAAUAAGUUCUAAAUCUUGAAAAAAUCCUAAAUCCUAAAUCCUAAAUCCUAAGCAAAUCUUAAAUCCUAAAUCCUAA
rnacentral:lncRNA from 1 species